ACUGGGGCGCUAUGGUGCCUGGAGCUGGGCAGUUUUCUCGUCAGAGUGGGGACUGAUGAUGAUUAUUCCCCACCUUCUAAGAGACAAAGACCAACGAGCCACCACAGCCACCAGUCCCAGAACCCGCCAAUGCUGGGGAACGGAAAAUGAGGGAGUUCAACUCUGAGAAAUGGAAUCAUCGUAUCGCUGAUCUACGUAAACAAACUGAAGAAUUGUCUGAAAGAAAAUAUGACAUGAACUUAUGAAUUCAACAGGUGAAGAUUUACAACUUGAUAAAUCAACUUUGUGAGAGCCACCUAAGCUGAAGAUUCCCUU
rnacentral:lncRNA from 1 species